UUUCCGUAGGUGAACCUGCGGAAGGAUCAUUAGUGAACAAACAAGUGCAGGUUGUGCUGGCCUUCUUGGUAUGUGCACGCCUGCCAAAGUUUCAUUCCAUCUUCCCACCUGUGCACUCUGUGUAGAUUCUGUAUGCUGUUGUCAAGCCUUUAUUGUGCUUGGUUGGGAGGAGUUGCUUGUUUUCACAAACAAACUCUUCUUGGGCAUAUGCAGGUCUAUGUUUAUGUCAACACCAUAUGAAUGUUUUAGAAUGUGUAUUAGGCUUUUGGCCUUUAAAUUAUAUACAACUUUCAACAACGGAUCUCUUGGCUCUC
rnacentral:misc_RNA from 1 species